rnacentral:sRNA from 1 species
GAUACGCCCCUUGGAUGCCUGCAGAGAAGCUCUGGGGCUUCAGUCAAUGACUCAGGGUAGCCUCCGAACAUGAUGCUCGCAGUGGGUGCCACCUGGACUCCACUCUCCCCUCUCUCUGGGAUCAUAGAGUCCAAGGUGUUCUGUGGCCUCUCGGCCAAUCCCAGCAGCUCAGCGUGCAGAAGACUGAGGAGCCAUUGGAAUUCAACACAACACGAAAUAAUCGACAAAUUCGGGGAAUGUUAAUCUGACCAUCCCCAGUUACAAAUGAUGUUUCAUGCUACCUUCUAUUCCUGCCUUCAUAAAUCAAGCUCUAAAUCUCCAGGAAAAAGUGCGCUCAGGAUCGCCAGAGAAAUGUCCUUCCAACUGUGCAUGGAAAGCAAGGACAGCAAAGCCUUCCAGACCUGCCUGUGACAUGCACUGCACAUUCUAAAGAUGCCUGUGCAAUGGAAAACACCACUGUCUGCUCCAGCACAGCUGCCAUUCUUCCAUCUUAUCGACCUUAAUGCAACAACUCCUCACAGGCAGAGAUUUUAAAAUGUGUUCUUGGCAGAAGAGAGACUCAAAGAUGGGACAAAUGGGUCAUUUAAGUGCCUGUUAAAAUGGAAACAGACAUAGUAUAGUCAGAGGAUUGUGGCAGCUAAGAACAUAGUCUCUGGAGCAAAUCUGCACGGGUGGCAACGCCAAGCACAUGAGGUCCUAAGUUGUAUGAACUUAGGAAAAGAAAAAGAGAACAUAUAUCCCCCUACCUUUUGAUUUCCAACAGUCUACUGAGAGGCCAAAAUUAUUUGCAGGGAAAGAAAAGGGGAAUGCCAUCCCCACCCUCUCGCAGCUACA